CUUCUGUCCUCAUUGUCAGCCAACAAGUGCCUGCAGCCACAAGAGAACCCCUUCCUACUAUGAGCAUUCAGAUGCUCUGCUGUGUGGCCCUUUGUCUCCUAGGAGCAGGAGCCACGGAUGGUGGAAUCACUCAGACCCCGAAAUACCUGUUCACAAAGGAAGGACAGAAUGUGACCCUGGAAUGUGAGCAGAAUUUGGAUCGCAAUGCCAUGUACUGGUACCGACAAGACCCGGGCCAAGGGUUGAGACUGAUCUACCACCCGCAACUUGUAAGGCAGGUCCUGAAAGGAGACAUCGCCCUCGGCUACAGUACCUCUGGGGAGAGGAAGGCACAGUUUCCUCUCACGGUGACGUCGCCCCAGAGGAACCGGACGGCUGUCUAUGUCUGCGCCAGUGCGAGCACAGUGAAGCACAGCGGCCCCCUCUCUGCGCGGAAAUGUGCCCGAGCCCUGCUGCCUCUACCAGGGGCGGGCUCUUCCCACAUCCCUGCCCGCCCUUUCUCCCGCCCCGGCCAGGCAUCCAAAGCUGCUAUCAUCAGUAGGCUCUGUGAGGUGGCAUGA